UAUGUAGAUGCAAAUGUCUAUCUAAUGAAAGGGAAUACUUUAUUAAUAUCAACAUACAUCUGAGGAGAAAUGAAAUUGUCUCUGACAUGUUUGUUGGCUGUACUUUUCAAACCAAUAUUUAUGGAACGUUUAUGUCUCAUAAGAGAAGCCGACACACACCUCAUAACCUAACUGAUUUUAUUCCUGGUAUUGUGUUAACGACUACAUUAGCAUCACCAUCAUUACAUGAUUCUUCAGCUGAUUGCCAGGAUGAGGAGUUUGUGGAAGAGGAAGUUUCUGUUGCACCCCUAGAUAAAUGCAGAAUUUAAGCGCAUUACCACCAUGCCCCUGCAAUCCAGAUUUCUGACACAGCUGGAUGUAAGAUCUGACAAACUUCUAAAGCUGUUCGAAAAACGAGGAGGACAGAUAGGAAGAUUACGUUGAUGCAGGGCGGGAAUGUGUUCUCAAGUGGCUGUGUGUGUACCUCAACGAAGACCCAGCAAAUUUUGUCAGGGAGUUCGUGGAAGGUGGAGGCCUCCCGUGGGAGGAAGAGAGUUUGUUACUCAGCUGUUUAGUCAUAAAACGAGCGUUUUCUGGUUACGAUCUGCGAAUAAUUCAGCACUGAAAAGAAACAAGGGUGAGAUGUUGUGCGCACAACACUCUCCGGCGGAUCAAUUCGCACGCCCGAACACUUCCGUAAUUGCACAUUAAUGCUGGUCUGCUGAACCCUAUGCUGGAGGACACUGGAGAGAACGGCUGUCAGCGGCAGGCCAUAAAAGAGGACAACAAAAUGGAAGACAAAAAACAGGUUCAACCACCUGUCGGCUGCAAAGGUCUCAGUGUAACUUUCAUUGGAGCAAAGCGCCCUUUUUCUGUAAUUAAGUCUUAUUUCGGCUGUCUGGAUUAAAAAGGGCUUUUGCCAC
ensembl:lncRNA